rnacentral:rRNA from 1 species
AGUCGACCCCUAAGGCGAGGCCGAAAGGCGUAGUCGAUGGGAAACGGGUUAAUAUUCCCGUACUUGGUGUUACUGCGAAGGGGGGACGGAGAAGGCUAUGUUGGCCGGGCGACGGUUGUCCCGGUUUAAGCGUGUAGGUGUGUGUUCCAGGUAAAUCCGGUUCACUUUAACACUGAGGCGUGAUGACGAGGCACUACGGUGCUGAAGCAACAAAUGCCCUGCUUCCAGGAAAAGCCUCUAAGCAUCAGGUAACAUCAAAUCGUACCCCAAACCGACACAGGUGGUCAGGUAGAGAAUACCAAGGCGCUUGAGAGAACUCGGGUGAAGGAACUAGGCAAAAUGGUGCCGUAACUUCGGGAGAAGGCACGCUGACACGUAGGUGAAGUGAUUUACUCAUGGAGCUGAAGUCAGUCGAAGAUACCAGCUGGCUGCAACUGUUUAUUAAAAACACAGCACUGUGCAAACACGAAAGUGGACGUAUACGGUGUGACGCCUGCCCGGUGCCGGAAGGUUAAUUGAUGGGGUCAGCGCAAGCGAAGCUCCUGAUCGAAGCCCCGGUAAACGGCGGCCGUAACUAUAACGGUCCUAAGGUAGCGAAAUUCCUUGUCGGGUAAGUUCCGACCUGCACGAAUGGCGUAAUGAUGGCCAGGCUGUCUCCACCCGAGACUCAGUGAAAUUGAACUCGCUGUGAAGAUGCAGUGUACCCGCGGCAAGACGGAAAGACCCCGUGAACCUUUACUAUAGCUUGACACUGAACAUUGAGCCUUGAUGUGUAGGAUAGGUGGGAGGCUUUGAAGUGUGGACGCCAGUCUGCAUGGAGCCGACCUUGAAAUACCACCCUUUAAUGUUUGAUGUUCUAACGUGGACCCGUGAUCCGGGUUGCGGACAGUGUCUGGUGGGUAGUUUGACUGGGGCGGUCUCCUCCUAAAGAGUAACGGAGGAGCACGAAGGUUGGCUAAUCCUGGUCGGACAUCAGGAGGUUAGUGCAAUGGCAUAAGCCAGCUUGACUGCGAGCGUGACGGCGCGAGCAGGUGCGAAAGCAGGUCAUAGUGAUCCGGUGGUUCUGAAUGGAAGGGCCAUCGCUCAACGGAUAAAAGGUACUCCGGGGAUAACAGGCUGAUACCGCCCAAGAGUUCAUAUCGACGGCGGUGUUUGGCACCUCGAUGUCGGCUCAUCACAUCCUGGGGCUGAAGUAGGUCCCAAGGGUAUGGCUGUUCGCCAUUUAAAGUGGUACGCGAGCUGGGUUUAGAACGUCGUGAGACAGUUCGGUCCCUAUCUGCCGUGGGCGCUGGAGAACUGAGGGGGGCUGCUCCUAGUACGAGAGGACCGGAGUGGACGCAUCACUGGUGUUCGGGUUGUCAUGCCAAUGGCACUGCCCGGUAGCUAAAUGCGGAAGAGAUAAGUGCUGAAAGCAUCUAAGCACGAAACUUGCCCCGA